UUUGUUCAUUAGGUUCCCCUUAUUGGUGAGAUCACAUGGUAUUUGUCUUUUACCACCUGGCUUGUUUCACUUAGCAUAAUGCUCUCCAGUUCCAUCCAUGCUGUAGGGAAAGGUAGGAGCACCUUCUGAAAUGAUGUUUUUAAAGACAUGGGCAUCAAGCAAUGAAGAAAGAACCUGAGAUUAAGAAUGUGAACUUUGAGUGCAAGGACACCAACAAGGCGUGUGUGACCUGUUGACAGAAGCACCAUCCUGGGCCGUUUGAUUUGUGUUUAGAGGCAGUAUGGCAUAUUUGAACAGAAUGAUGAGAUUUUCCAGAUCGACAUGUCAAACAGGUGCAUAUAGCUAUUUAGUGUGGAACUCAUAAAAAUAUACUUUAAUAUGUGUUAAAACUUCCAUUUUAGCCAAUGUCGAAUGCCUACGCAAUAUGCCAAGUGUUGUGCUAGGAACGUUCACAUCUGUUUUCUCAUACAUUGCCGUAAAGGUUGAAGAACUUGGCUGCGAUCAUGGAGUUUUUUUGGUGAAGGACUCAAUGAACAGAGAGCCUCAUGACUGUAACAUAAAAUGCCUUUGCACUGCACCAUGAUUCAAAUCAUUAAGAGCGAGAUGAAAUUUUCAUGAUUAAUAGUUGCACUUUGCAAUAAUACUAAUAUGAUUUAUAGUGUUGACAUUAAACUAAAAAGUAUCAACAUUUAGUCAUUUCUUUUGAAAUGAAGCUUAUUUAAUACCAGUGAACUGAAACCCUACCAAUAUUCAAAACCCUAAUUUAUUUAGCAAUUGGAUGAAUUUUCCCCACUAAUGCCACAUUGCCCAAAAGGCUGCGUUUCACGAAAACAACAAAAAAUAUCUAUGAGAAAUCUGAAAAGUCAAAUCAGCCUAAAAAUUUGCAUGAAAUAAACAAGACCGGCAACUAAACGUUUUUAUUUUUUAAAGAUUGUGUCAAUAAUGAAUGAGAGACAGGCGCCAGAUGCCUGACCCUCUUGCGGGUCAUUGCUCCCAAGAUGACCCAGAAAAGAAGGAACGGCAGUUAUGCCCGAAAAGGCCACGGGCGUGCACGCCCUACCCGCUGCCCCGACUGCGCCUGCGCGCGUCCAGCGACCAGGCCUUGAAGAAGUUCGUCAUGCGGAACAGCAGGGGCACAGCUGUCUGGGGCAUUUCUGGGACAUUUCCCAAGUGUCUCUGGCACCUGUGUGUUUGCCAAGCCGCAUGUGAAACUACAUGACGGCGGGAGUCGUGCCAUUCACGGCAAGGUGGCGGGGAUCGUUCGGUGACCCUGAAGGAGCGAACAGACCCCACCCCGAUUUAGACUUGCGGGUGCUGCCGCACGACCUGCACCAAAGCCCACUCAAGGAGCUGACUCCCUAAGGACGGAAGGAAAGGUCUCCGG